rnacentral:rRNA from 1 species
UACGGAGGAUGCGAGCGUUAUCCGGAUUUAUUGGGUUUAAAGGGUGCGUAGGCGGGUUAUCAAGUCAGCGGUAAAAUCGUGGAGCUCAACUCCAUCCAGCCGUUGAAACUGAUGAUCUUGAGUGGGCGAGAAGUAUGCGGAACGCGUGGUGUAGCGGUGAAAUGCAUAGAUAUCACGCAGAACCCCGAUUGCGAAGGCAGCAUACCGGUGCACAACUGACGCUCAGGCACGAAAGCGUGGGUAUCGAACAGG